UAAUUCCACUCAAAAGCUUUCCUUACCUUCUGCACACAGCCCCAUGUCAAUCAACUGAGCGUCCCUCUCUCCUUAGCGGCUGUCCCCUGAAUGCCCCUGGAGAAUAGAAGAUGGAUGGACUAUGCUGAGAGCCUGAAAUGUGAAUUAAUGGAUGUUGAAGACUUUGGUGGCUUCCAAAAGUAGUGAGGACUAAUUGAUAGGUGGUAUCCAUUGAGGUUGUAGCCAAUGAAGAUGAGGAAGCCUGCAACUCUGGUUUUGUUGGAAGGAUAGAAUACUAUGGAAGAACACUUAAAUAGACUUCAGAGACCUUUCCUCAUUUGGAGAAGGUGUGGGGACGAAUGUUAAACACAAGUCUGGGCUUACAUCUUUGAAGCAAAUUGGAAUCUUGACCACAAGCAAUGAAGGUAGCUAGUCUAAUUUGAAGACUAUUUGCAGAGACCAGCACAAAGACAUUAUUAAAGCAGAAAAGAAAGUAUUUGUUGCGAGCCACCAGCUGCAUGGGGAACUUGCCCAAAUCAUACAGCCCUGAGCUUUACAGCUGUCUUUUAUGUAAACAAAAACAACAACAACAAAAAUAACAACCACAUUCUGGAUCCCAGUUGUUACACUCUAGUUAUGAAAAGUACAACUAGAGAGGACAAAA